CAAUGGCACAAUCUCAGCUCAAUGCAACCUCCGCCUCCUGGGUUCAAGUGAUUCUUGUGCCUCAGCCUCCAGAGUAGCUGGGAUUACAGGCUCCCCUUACCAGGCCUGGCUAAUUUUUGUAUUCUUAGCAGAGACGGAGUUUCACCAUGUUGGACAGGCUGGUCUCGAACUCCUGACCUCACGUAACCCACCCGCCUUGGCCUCCCAAAGUGCUGGGAUUACAGGCAUGAGCCACCACGCCCAACCUCAGCUUACUAUGCUUGAGCAUGUAUAAGAACUUUGCCAAAAGUUUUUUCUUUAUGUCUAUUUUUUUUGGAGAGAGAGAGAGGUUGUUGGGUGUCCUCAGAAUGCCAUUGUCUCAUACCUUCUGCAGGCCUUUCUAUUUCUAAUCAGUAGAAAAGCUCAGAACUAUCUUCUGAUUCUGAUAUUCACAGCUAUUAAUUGAGCUCUUCCAAGAUGUCAGGCAAUUUGUUAACUCUUCAUGUGCAUCAUCUUAUUGAAUACGGCAACCCAUACAGGUGGUAAAAUUAAUAUGCACAUUUAAUAGAGGGGCAAACUAAGGCCAGGAGAGGUUACUUGUCUCUGAUCACAGAAGAACUAGUGAGUAGUAGAGGUGGAAUUUGAGUCUGGAUGUGGCUGAUUCCAGAAUCCAAGCAUUUGGGCCCUCUACUUGUUAGUCUUCAAUGAUGUUGCUUAUGCCAUAUCCUAUUUCUUGGUAUUGGUUUGUGCAUUUGUUAAAGAAGAUUAGCAUAGAAUAAUGGGUCUCACUGUGUGACUUUGUUCCCCCACAACAUGUGACAAUGUCUACAGACAUUUUUGGUUGUCACAACAUGGGAGGAGGUGUGUGCAUGCUGCUGGCAUCUAGAGGGUAGAGGCAGGGAUGCUACUAGAUAUUCCAUAACACACAAGUCAGUCUCCUGACAAAGAAGUAUUCAGCCUCAAAUGUCAGUAGUGCUAAGUGCCACCAGUAGACACCCCAGUGUAGACCAUCUGAAACCUCUUCCAACCUUGAAAGUUCAUGGCACUCUUCCAGAGCUCCCCCGUCAGUGACAUCAGUGUUAAGUGCAGGAAGGUGUCUCCAGAAGACUCUUGAGGCCCAGGCUCGCCAAUGUCUCGAGACAAUAGAUUUCAAAGGUGAUGGCUAUGAGCCACUCCCAUGCAUGAGAGCUCUGGUGGUCUACCUUCUACCCUGGGGUCUCCAGCGUCAUGGACUCAAGACUCCACACAAGCCUCAGCACUGUGUUUACAUUCACCAUGUGGAUCCCCAUGAGGCAAGAGGUGAAGACUGCAAUCCAAAUGCUGGGGUUCUCUCUUGCUGUUUUCUUCCUCUCCAUUUUAAACAGGCAGCCAGGCUCUGUUCAGCUUCUUAGUCUCAAGGAUCCCUGAGUUUCUUCUCUAUUCUCUGCCUGCUGACAGGAACAAAGGCCAGGAGGAACAGGCCUUACAGCUAAAAGGUUCCCUUGGAGGCCCAUCUCAAAUUCCCUGCAGGUGUGGCCACUCGUCACAACCUGAUUCCUGGUGACCUCUCCCCGCACGGGAGGUGGCAGAAUCCAGGAGCACCGUAGGUAUCCGACCCCCUCCUGGCAGGGCUUAGAUGGAUAGAGCUGGGAAAAGUUUGAAGCCUGUGUUCCUGUGAGAGGGGAGGCUUGGGCCCACCCACAUGGCACUGCAUGGCCAGGGUGACGCUGGAGGUUCCCGAGGGGCCUGAAGACUUAGAAGGU
rnacentral:lncRNA from 1 species